CUUGGCAACUCCUAUGUGAAGAGUGGCAGAGACAGAGUCAGGAAGCCUCACUCCAGGUUUAGAAAACAUCGUCAGGGUGGCAGAAAAAUCUAGUCCAUUCCUUCCUGCUGACCCAACUCAGCCAGCAGUUCCUUGCUUGGGAACAUGAGGUUCAGAUGCUGACAUUUUAAAACAGCCGUGGCUUAAAUAACCUCAAGAAUUUCAGUAUCCAGAAAUAAAGGGAAGAGAAAAACUGGGUAUGAGACUGGGUAAGUCAGAUACAGCCACAGAAAUGCACAGGGGAAGACCAUAUGUGGAAGCGGGGUUUUGCGAUGCGGAGUGAUGAACACCGGAAAGACAACAUCUGAAAAUUCUGCCUGAUGGAUAGAGAGAAGCAUGCUGGCAAGAGACACGGAGCUGACGGACGAAGAGAUGCACGCCUGACAGAAUUGGGACUGUUCACCUAAAGUCUGGGAAUUCAGCCCAAAAUUCCUGAAGGAUGAAUUCCUUUUCCUCGGCCAGGUUGACGUUUGAGCGCACAUCGCCCUCUUGUGUCUAUGACACAUUUGGCAGGGUAGUUUCCAGCAGUUGCUAACGCACACAGCAAAUUGAAACCUUGUAACAUCCCUGAAGUCUGCAGACCUCAGUACAAGGCAGAUGGAGAACAAACACACCAAUCUUCCCAGAAUAGUCAAGAACAUCCAGAAGAAUCCAGAAUUUGUGAAGAUGGUACUGAUAACUACCCAACCCAGAGUUUUGAAAGUUAAAAAAUGUAUAAGGCACCAUAAAAUGUAUAUUCAAGAGCUCACAGAAAAUGUUUACCUUCUAAAAGAGCUGGACAUUUUCCAUAAACUGAAAGUUGUACUCUACAGUAGAUACAUGAAGAUGUCCUCCUAGCAUUUCCAUAUUCGACCUGUUGACUUUUGAAUCACCUUUCAUAUCCUCUUCAAUGUUGCCCAUCCACACACCCACACCCACGCCCACACAAGCCGUGUGUGCAAAUAUGCCCACCUGCAGGGUCUUCUGUUCUCAAUUACAAUUUCAGACUGCUCUGCUUGCUCCUACAACUUCUUAAGGAGAUACAAGAACUUUGGAUCUCUGGCCCCCAUCAGUCCUCACUCCUCCAUCCCUGUAAACAGGUGCAAGGCAUAUUUCUGGCACACCAAACAGAUUCCACCAAAAACCUGAAUCUGAAGCUCUCACAGUCACUGACCCUAGUGUGGCCUGGAUGAGACUGGUGGCCCAAGCUUCUAUUAUACUGUUUGUUGUUGUUGUUGUUUGUUUGUUUGUUUGUUUGUUUUGAGAUGGAGUCUUACUCUGUUACCC